rnacentral:tRNA from 1 species
AGUCUGGUAACUCAGUUGGCUAGAGUGUCGGCUUUACUAAAGUCUUCUUCUUGCUGGCGUGGGUUCGAAUCCCACCGAUUCUU